rnacentral:lncRNA from 1 species
GAACAGUGUGGGGGAGGCAUGCACGGACAUGAAGCGCGAGUACGACCAGUGCUUCAAUCGCUGGUUCGCCGAGAAAUUUCUCAAGGGGGACAGCUCCGGGGACCCGUGCACCGACCUCUUCAAGCGCUACCAGCAGUGUGUUCAGGUGAGCCCUCCCGCCUCUGUUCCCAGGCCCUGCAUUCUCGGCGCUGUGUCCCACCACACUCAUCGUAUUUUACGGGGAUUGGGACUGGACUGGAAGGGUGGAGAAAAGUCGCAGUGAGGCCAGUGGCAGGAGCUCGCUCCCCUACCAUCACCACCGAGGCCACUUGGGUGUCUCUCCGAAUGACAAAUAUUGGGGCAGUGCUUUUCAAGAAGCACAGUCACAUCCUUUGGUUCAUUUGGUGUUCACCCUAAACUCGCAAGAAAGCAAUAAAGGAGAAAGAGAUUCCUAUUGAAGGACUGGAGUUCAUGGGCCAUGGCAAAGAAAAGCCUGAAAAUUCUUCUUGACCUUGACAGUCACCUUGAAGGAUUUCGCAAGUCCAGAAAUUGAGGACUCUGGAUUUUUGUCAACUAACUCUGUGAACAUAGCCAUCAGAUUUGAUGAGGAACUUAGGAGAGAGGAGUUUUAUUUCCUCCUUCGAUGUUUUCCUCUCAGUUGUAAAAGAUGAACUCUUUGAGAUGAUUUCUCACCUGCUGUGGUAUCUUGCAGGAACUGUGUGCUAAAAUUGAACAAUUUUUUUGAGAUUAUGGUUGCAAUACUUGGCGUGGAAUCAGCUUUACAUAAAUAUACCUUGUAUGCAAACGAUGAUAAACUAGUCAGGAUGAGCAGAGCUGCCUGACCUCUUGAUUUCUGCUGCAAAAGACAUAUACACUGUACUGGGGUCACUAUUUAUGAAAGCAAUUGGUUAGGACCUCUUUUUUUCCUCUCAGGGAACUAAUGCUCUGAAAAGGGAUCUGGGCACAACAGUUUCAGUGAGUGCUUUUGAGCACACUUUUAUUUUUAUAUAGUAACUAAUGGUUAAGAUUGAUGGUGGCCUGGAUUAGCAAAGAGGAAGACAGCUUUUAACACAGUUCCCUGCCUUCACAAGAGGUGUCAGAUUAAGAUGUGAAAGCUGCAAGAAUGUUGCAGUGAACACCAUUUCAGAGCUCUCAGUGUGCAGUUCAGGAAUUA